GAUGAACGCUGGCGGCGUGCCUAAUACAUGCAAGUCGAGCGAACGGACGAGAAGCUUGCUUCUCUGAUGUUAGCGGCGGACGGGUGAGUAACACGUGGAUAACCUACCUAUAAGACUGGGAUAACUUCGGGAAACCGGAGCUAAUACCGGAUGAUAUUUUGAACCGCAUGGUUCAAAAGUGAAAGACGGUCUUGCUGUCACUUAUAGAUGGAUCCGCGCUGCAUUAGCUAGUUGGUAAGGUAACGGCUUACCAAGGCAACGAUGCAUAGCCGACCUGAGAGGGUGAUCGGCCAGACUGGAACUGAGACACGGUCCAGACUCCUACGGGAGGCAGCAGUAGGGAAUCUUCCGCAAUGGGCGAAAGCCUGACGGAGCAACGCCGCGUGAGUGAUGAAGGUCUGCGGAUCGUAAAACUCUGUUAUUAGGGAAGAACAUAUGUGUAAGUAACUGUGCACAUCUUGACGGUACCUAAUCAGAAAGCCACGGCUAACUACGUG
rnacentral:rRNA from 1 species